AAACUCAAAUGAAUUGACGGGGAGCACCACGAACGGGUGGAGCUUGCGGUUUUAAUUGGAUUCAACGCCGGAAAUCUUACCGGGACCGACAGCAAUAUGAAGGCCAGGCUGAAGACUUUGCCGGAUUAGCUGAGAGGUGGUGCAUGGCCGUCGUCAGUUCGUACUGUGAAGCAUCCUGUUAAGUCAGGCAACGAGCGAGACCCACGCCCACAGUUGCCAGCGUACUCUCUGGAGUGACGGGUACACUGUGGGACCGCCGCUGCUAAAGCGGAGGAAGGAAUGGGCAACGGUAGGUCAGUAUGCCCCGAAUAUCCCGGGCUACACGCGAGCUACAAUGGUUGGUACAAUGGGUAUCUACCCCGAAAGGGGACGGGAAUCUCCUAAAACCAAUCUUAGUUCGGAUUGAGGGCUGCAACUCGCCCUCAUGAAGCUGGAAUCCGUAGUAAUCGCGUUUCAACAGAACGCGGUGAAUACGUCCCUGCUCCUU
rnacentral:rRNA from 1 species